GACGAACGCUGGCGGCGUGCCUAAUACAUGCAAGUCGAGCGGACCGAAUGGAAGCUUGCUUCUGUUCGGUUAGCGGCGGACGGGUGAGUAACACGUGGGUAACCUGCCCGUAAGACCGGGAUAACUCCGGGAAACCGGGGCUAAUACCGGAUAACACCAAAGACCGCAUGGUCUUUGGUUGAAAGGUGGCUUUUGCUACCACUUACGGAUGGGCCCGCGGCGCAUUAGCUAGUUGGUGAGGUAACGGCCCACCAAGGCGACGAUGCGUAGCCGGCCUGAGAGGGUGACCGGCCACACUGGGACUGAGACACGGCCCAGACUCCUACGGGAGGCAGCAGUAGGGAAUCUUCCGCAAUGGACGAAAGUCUGACGGAGCGACGCCGCGUGAGCGAAGAAGGUCUUCGGAUCGUAAAGCUCUGUUGUUAGGGAAGAAGAAGUACCGCUCGAAUAGGGCGGUACGGUGACGGUACCUAACGAGAAAGCCCCGGCUAACUACGUGCCAGCCGCCGCGGUAACAC
rnacentral:rRNA from 1 species